rnacentral:tRNA from 1 species
GCCUGGGUGGCUCAGUUGGUUGAGCGUCCGACUUCGGCUCAGGUCAUGAUCUCACAGUUCAUGGGUUCGAGCCCCACAUCGGGCU